CUGUUUAGUAAACUCAAGGGGUGCGGCUUACUCUUCAUUACUGAUUAUCAUCCAUUUUUAUUAUGCAGGUUUCUUCUGAGGUUUGGAAUGCUCAGGUUGCCAUUAAGGAACUGGAUGCGGAGAUUAAAUAUAAAACUGAUGCUCAAAACAAUUCUGAAGCAUGAUCAUGUUGUCAGACAAAUUCAAAUGGGAAAAAUUCCUGGAGAAGGGAGUCCUAAUAAUCCAGAGUGGUAAGCACUAAACAAAGGAAAGAGAGCAAGAGGUUCUAUAUUCAAG
rnacentral:lncRNA from 1 species